CCUAGGUUUGAUUCCCGGGAUUAAAAAGAAGAAGAAAAAAAGAAAAAGAAAAAAGGGCAGAAUUGACCCCUUUCAACUCCAAAAUUAGACUUGUUAGGAAAACUGAAAAGUAUGAUAGGUCUGUGUGAGCAUGUGGCAGUUCAGCUAGAUCUUGUUUUUCACUUUCCUGAAUUAACUCUGAUUAUGAUUACUGGCUAGAUAGCUUAGUGGUUGAGGGUAAAAGCUCAUGACUCAUACUGGACCAAGCAGAAAAAUUACAAUUAAUAUUUGUGUAACUCUUUAAGCUUCAAUUUCCUCAUGUAAAAAAUGAAGCUAAGAAGCCUUUCUAUGUAGAUUUUAUAAGCCCCAAAUGACCCAGGGGUAGUGGUCACCAUCCACUCCCCUUUUUAAUUCCUUAACCUGAGCUCCCUGCAAGAACCAGAUGGACCCUGGAAAGUCAAGAGUAGCUUGAGUAGCUCAAUUGUAAAGUCUACAAAGAGUAGCUCAAUUGUAGUUGUUGUGUUGGAAAUGGUAUCUUGCUUAGACCAGUUUAAUGUAGCUUCAGGUCCAUGGUAUCCAGCCAAAAGCAGUUUCCUCUGAUGUGGGGUAGACAGUAUUAUGCAUUAUGGUCUCCCCUCAGAAAGCCUGUGUUCACCCUUCUGCCCUCAGUCACAACAGUGCCAGCGGCCUGAACCAGCUGGACAUUCUGCAGAACACUACAUUGGCCCAGCCUAUCUGUGGGCUGGAGGGUUGGGUGGCCUCAGAGAGGAGAAGCGAGACCCCCCACAAGAAUUCACAUCAGUGAAGUUUGUGGAGGUUCCAGCAGUGCGGAUGUGCUGGGACAUCCUCUCUAAAGUACAGUACAAACCUUCCAAAAGCGGAUACUGUGAUUCUCAAUUCUUUCCGACUUGUGUCCUUUCUGUCUCCACACCUGAAGUAAAUUCUGCCUGGAAGCCAUUGCCCCACAGUGCUCCCUGGAGGAUCAAUGGACUGUGCUGGUUCCCAGACACCUGGGCCUGCCGUGGUCAGUACAUGGCAAGGUUCAGUCAUGCAUUCCCUCCCUUCCUGACAUCCCGGUAGGUCUCAGGCAAGGAGCCCUGGUAGGAGGCAGGCUCAGAUACUGUUCCUGUUCUUCUUCUGGGAUGCUUAGCUCUUUUUAACCCAGAAGUUGCUGGGAAAAUCUAUGUCUAAAAUGCAUACCAAGCCAGGCAUGGUGGUACAUGUCUGUAAUCCCAGCACUCAGAGACUGAGGCAGGAGGACCAUUGUGAAUUUGAGGGCAGCCUAGACUACAUGGUGAGACCCUGUCUCAAAAAACCAAUAAUCAAAAACAAUGCAUGCCAGCAGAAUGCUGAGGAGCAAUAAGUCCCUUUCCUGUUGUCUCCUAACUGGAUAUGGCUUUCCCCAGGGGUUGCCAUGAUGUCAUACCAAAGAG
rnacentral:lncRNA from 1 species